rnacentral:rRNA from 1 species
UACAGAGGUGGCAAGCGUUGUUCGGAAUUACUGGGCGUAAAGGGCGCGUAGGCGGCCUUCUAAGUCAGACGUGAAAUCCCCCGGCUUAACCUGGGAACUGCGUCUGAUACUGGGAGGCUAGAGUGCGGGAGAGGGAUGCGGAAUUCCAGGUGUAGCGGUGAAAUGCGUAGAUAUCUGGAGGAACACCGGUGGCGAAGGCGGCCUGCUGGGCAGUAGCUGACGCUGAGGCGCGACAGCGUGGGGAGCAAACAGG